rnacentral:rRNA from 1 species
AGAGUUUGAUCAUGGCUCAGGACGAACGCUGGCGGCGUGCCUAAUACAUGCAAGUAGAACGCUGAAGGGAGAGCUUGCUCUUCUGGAUGAGUUGCGAACGGGUGAGUAACGCGUAGGUAACCUGCCUGGUAGCGGGGGAUAACUAUUGGAAACGAUAGCUAAUACCGCAUAACAUUGACUAUUGCAUGAUAGUCAAUUAAAAGGUGCAAUUGCACCACUACCAGAUGGACCUGCGUUGUAUUAGCUAGUUGGUGGGGUAACGGCUCACCAAGGCGACGAUACAUAGCCGACCUGAGAGGGUGAUCGGCCACACUGGGACUGAGACACGGCCCAGACUCCUACGGGAGGCAGCAGUAGGGAAUCUUCGGCAAUGGACGGAAGUCUGACCGAGCAACGCCGCGUGAGUGAAGAAGGUUUUCGAAUCGUAAAGCUCUGUUGUAAGAGAAGAACGAGUGUGAGAGUGGAAAGUUCACACUGUGACGGUAUCUUACCAGAAAGGGACGGCUAACUACGUGCCAGCAGCCGCGGUAAUACGUAGGUCCCGAGCGUUGUCCGGAUUUAUUGGGCGUAAAGCGAGCGCAGGCGGUUAGAUAAGUCUGAAGUUAAAGGCUGUGGCUUAACCAUAGUACGCUUUGGAAACUGUUUAACUUGAGUGCAGAAGGGGAGAGUGGAAUUCCAUGUGUAGCGGUGAAAUGCGUAGAUAUAUGGAGGAACACCGGUGGCGAAAGCGGCUCUCUGGUCUGUAACUGACGCUGAGGCUCGAAAGCGUGGGGAGCAAACAGGAUUAGAUACCCCGGUAGUCCAA